rnacentral:rRNA from 1 species
UACAGAGGUCUCAAGCGUUGUUCGGAUUCAUUGGGCGUAAAGGGUGGGUAGGUGGCGCGCUAAGUCGGGUGUGAAAUUUCGGAGCUUAACUCCGAAACUGCAUUCGAUAACUGGCCGUGCUUGAGGACUGGAGAGGAGACUGGAAUUCAUGGUGUAGCAGGUGAAAUGCGUAGAGAUCAUGAGGAAGACCGUGGCGAAGGCGGGUC